CUCUACAUUGUAAUACUCACCCGGUUACAGUAAUUUGUGUAAUGUUGGACAUACGAUGAAACAACACGACAUUGAUACAGCAAUUUGACCUCACACUCAUUUUUAUCAGCAGAUUAGUGUGCUUUGAGUACACCACAGUUCUGUAAGUGAAAAAUUAAUUCAUAUUUAUGUGUGUUUCUUUCUCAGUAAGGACUAACUUUAACUGACUUUCUGUCUGUCUGUCUGUCUGUUCUCAACCAAACGGUCAUUCAAGACCUUUUAAAGCAAAAACAUUUCCCGUGCAAGUUUGAAUCUCUCUCAGUAAGGACUUAUUGACUGGCUGUCUGUUCUCGACCAAACGGUCAUUCUUACUCAUAAAAAACUUUUAAAGCACAAGUGUGUCCCGCGCAAGUUUGAAUUUCUCUCAGUAAGGACUGACGAACGGCCAUUCACUCAUAAAACCUUUUAAAGGUUAGCACGAAUGCAUCCAGCAUAAUUUUGGAUCUUUACCAUUGAGGAGACUGGCUGACUGUUCUCAACCAACCAUCAUUCACACGCAAAAACUUUAAAGGUAAGUAUGAACGUGUCUAGAGCAGUUUUGGAUCUUUACCAUUGAGGAGGUUGACUGACUUUCAUCUACCAACUGUCAUUAACACAACAAAAACUAAAGAAAUGUUACUACAAGUGGACCUAUUCAGUUACUCAUUAUGCUGUGAGUACACCACAAUUUUAUCAGUGAAACAAUAAUGUUUGUUUUUUCUCAAUGCUUGGCAUAGACAAAUGUGACCCUGUGUAAUUUGGAAAUUUCAUGGGAAAUGUGUACGUCUUAAAAAUGUUUAAAUGUCGUUUGAGUUAAGGAACAGUACACUGAUUUAUUAAAAGUGUGCAAUACACUGAGUCUAUUAAAGUCAUAAAGGAAUACUUGAUAUAUUUCAUAAAGGAAUGUGUAAAUCUAAUAUUAGUUUUAAUGUGAAUUUGGACAGAAAAGCAAAAAAAUGUUUGUAAAAUAAACAAUUGUUUAAUAAACUGUAAUAAUUUUACCCUUUUCUGUCAUCAUUUUU